rnacentral:lncRNA from 1 species
UUUUUGGUAUUUUUAUUUGUUUUACUUUGGGAACUAAAAUACUAGCACAUGCUAACAUGAGAAACAAGGAAAACUACAAGACAGCAACACAUAUAUGUUCAGCAACUAGUAUGAAAGAAAAGAAUUAAGAUCAAGGGACAAGAACAGAAGUACUUCACAUCACAAGCAUAUAUAUACUCACACGUACAUAGCUAACACAGGGACUAAGAAUUAAAGAUGUUCAAACUACUCACUUGACAGAGAGCACAAACAACACAAAAAUAGACAAGUAAGCUAGGUUCUUACAAAUGACUAGUUGAUAAACAGAGCACAUAUAUUGAACAGUACUACUAGACAAAUCUGAACAACACAUGCCAUACAAAUCUCAAUUCUAAACAUUACAAAAUACUAAACAUUAUACUACUCAAGAUUACAGAAAUUUGAGAGAGAGAAACAACAGCAGCAAGUUAGGGAAGUUGAGCGGAGGAGGAGCAGCGAAGGGGUUCAGAGAGAAAGAGAGAGACAGCAGGGGCGGCAGUAAGUUCAGAGAAGGAGCAGCAGCAGUAGGUUCAGAGAAAGAGUAGCAGUAGGUUCAGAGAAGGAGCGGCAAUAAGGUUUGGGAAGAAGAGGCAGCAGGGGAAAGGAGUAGUAGAAGCAGCGUGGAGGCGCAGGGGAGAAGAGAGCAACAACAGUUUGAGGCGAGGGAAGAAGAGAAGCAGCAGUAGGUUCAGAGAAGGCUUCAACAGAGGCGCAACAUGUAGUUUGGAGAUGGAGAAGGAGUUCGGGUUCAGGGAGCAACAACAGAGGUGAGGAAGAAGAGGGUAGCAGUAGGAGGACUGGAGGAUGGUGUGGUGGCGCUGGAUAUGGUGAUGGAUGGUGUGUGGCGGCGGUGCUGGAGAUGGUGAUGGAUGGCGCGGUGGUUCGAGGUGGUGAUGCGGCGCUGGUAGUGGCGGGUGGUGGAGAUGGAGUGGAUGAUGGAGUGGUGGCUGGAUGGACGGCGCUGGGCGCUGGUGGCGCACCUACCACGCCGGCCUGGCCAUGGCGGCGGCCAGAGGUGGAGAAGAAGGGUAAGGGAAAGAGAGAGAUGCCAGGCCCGAUUUGGGGAUUGAGAGCGCUAGGGAUUUGAUCCCCUUAAUCAGAUCUUCCCCUUUGCAAUCUGGCCCCUCUCCUUUUCUUCCUUCUGCACAAGUUGGUCCUCCUCUUAUUUAGGCAAACCCUUCAAGCUUUAGUGUUCAUCACACUUGGGUCCCUCCAUCUUUCUGUCCUGCCCUUGUCUCUUCUCAUCAGCCCCAUAGUCCAAAUUUUGAAGUUUAUAGGCCUUUUCGCCCUAUUCUGCAAAAUAAACAAAUUACUAGUCACGAGCUCUUUCGUGAAUAUCAUUUGAAUAUUCGAUAAUUCUAAGCAAGGAUAGAUUGACAUAUCUCAAUAAAUGGUGUAUAUGUGUGCCCAAAUCGUAUAUAUGAAAUGUGCUUAUCAAGUACCCCCACACUUAAAUCUUUGCUUGUCCUCAAGCAAAGGCAUUUGACAAGAGCAAGGUAGUGAUCAGCGAACUGACUAGAGAAUGUCCCAGUGAAGUAGAUCUCCAAACAAUGCAUGCUUUGAACUUUUGCUAGUGAAAAUCAAUGGUUAAGAGUGCUACAAAGCAGUAUGAUACUAGUAAGCAUGACCAUUUUUAACUUUUACAAUGAUAAAAGAGGAUCAACAAGUUUAAAUGAUGACUGUGCCAAAUGGUUCCUAAAGAGAGCAUGAUCUCGAGAACAAAAUGAACUGGAAUUAAAUCUUGUGAUCAAUCGAUCAUUUUGGCGCCUAUCACGCGGGUGACCUGAGUUCGAUCCCCGGCAACGGCGCCAAAAUGAUCGAUUGAAAGUGCAGCGGGAUAUUUACGCCCCAAACUACGGAUGUCGUAUUCUCCUCAGGGACUAGGCAACGACAGUCGUGCUCGGCCAAAGCUAGAUCUGACGAAAAGGUUUUUGAUAUUGCAAAACAAACGAAAAUAAAGCAAGUUUGUUCCAGAAAAUCAUUGACAAAUAAGAUGUACUCACUAUAUUUUUGGUAUUUUUAUUUGUUUUACUUUGGUAACUAAAAUACUAGCACAUGCUAACAUGAGAAACAAGGAAAACUGCUAGACAGCAACACAUAUAUGUUCAGCAACUAGUAUGAAAGAAAAGAAUUAAUAUCAAGGGACAAGAACAGAAGUACUUCACAUCACAAGCAUAUAUAUACUCACACGUACAUAGCUAACACAUGGACUAAGAAUUAAAGAUGUUCAAACUACUCACUUGACAGAGAGCACAAACAACACAAAAAUAGACAAGUAAGCUAGGUUCUUACAAAUGACUAGUUGAUAAACAGAGCACAUAUAUUGAACAGUACUACUAGACAAAUCUGAACAACACAUGCCAUACAAAUCUCAAUUCUAAACAUUACAAAAUACUAAACAUUAUACUACUCAAGAUUACAGAAAUUUGAGAGAGAGAGAAACAGCAGCGGCAAGUUAGGGAAGUUGAGCGAAGGACUAGCAGCGAAGGGGUUCAGAGAGAAAGUGAGAGACAGCAGGGGCAGCAGUAAGUUCAGAGAAGGAGCAGCAGCAGUAGGUUCAGAGAAAGAGUAGCAGUAGGUUCAGAGAAGGAGCGGCAGCAUGGUUUGGGAAGAAGAGGCAGUAGGGUAAAGGAGUAGUAGAAGCAGCGUGGAGGCGCAGAGGAGAAGAGAGCAACAGCAGUUUGAGGCGAGGGAAGAAGAGAAGCAGCAGUAGGUUCAGAGAAGGCUUCAGCAGAGGCGCAGCAUGCAGUUUGGAGAUGGAGAAGGAGUUCGGGUUCAGGGGAGCAACAACGGAGGUGAGGAAGAAGAGGGUAGCAGUAGGAGGACUGGAGGAUGGUGUGGUGGCGUUGGAUAUGGUGAUGGAUGGUGUGCGGUGGCGGUGCUGGAUGGCGCGGUGGUUCGAGGUGGUGAUGCGGCGCUGGCAGCGACGGUUGGUGGAGAUGGAGUGGAUGAUGGAGUGGUGGCUGGAUGGAUGGCGCUGGUUGCUGGUGGUGCACCUACCAUGCCAGCCUGGCCAUGGCGGCGGCCGGAGGUGGAGAAGGAGGGUAAGGGAAAGAGAGAGAGAUGCCAGACCCGAUUUGGGGAUUGAGAGCGCUAGGGAUUUGAUCCCCUCGAUCAGAUCUUCCCCUUUGCAAUCUGGCCCCUCUCCUUUUCUUCCUUCUGCACAAGUUGGUCCUCCUCUUAUUUAGGCAAACCCUUCAAGCUUUAGUGUACAUCACACUUGGGUCCCUCCAUCUUUCUGUCGUGCCCUUGUCUCUUCUCAUUAGCCCCAUAGUCCAAAUCUUGAAGUUUAUAGGCCUUUUCGCCUUAUUCUGCAAAAUAAAC